UACGUAGGGAGCAAGCGUUGUUCGGAUUUACUGGGCGUAAAGGGCGCGUAGGCGGCGCGGUAAGUCACUUGUGAAAUCUCUGAGCUUAACUCAGAACGGCCAAGUGAUACUGCAGUGCUAGAGUGCAGAAAGGGCAAUCGGGAUUCUUGGUGUAGCGGUGAAAUGCGUAGAUAUCUGGAGGAACACCGGUGGCGAAGGCGGCAUCCUGGACCGGCAUUGACGCUGAGGCGCGAAAGCCAGGGGAGCAAACGGG
rnacentral:rRNA from 1 species